ACGCCCCGCAAGGGGAGUGGCAGACGGGUGAGUAACGCGUGGGAACGUGCCCUUCGCUUCGGAAUAGCCCCGGGAAACUGGGAGUAAUACCGGAUACGCCGUAUUGGGAAAGAUUUAUCGGCGAAGGAUCGGCCCGCGUUGGAUUAGCUAGUUGGAGGUGUAAUGGACCCCCAAGGCUACGAUCCAUAGCUGGUCUGAGAGGAUGAUCAGCCACACUGGGACUGAGACACGGCCCAGACUCCUACGGGAGGCAGCAGUGGGGAAUCUUGGACAAUGGGCGCAAGCCUGAUCCAGCCAUGCCGCGUGAGUGAAGAAGGCCUUAGGG
rnacentral:rRNA from 1 species